UUUCAGUUCCUGUCCCACGCUUCUCCGCGCCCGAUCUGUUCUACGUCAGGGUCCUGUCAUGGCGUGCGCUGCCUCCUGUGGUUUUCCCGUGUCCCUCUGUGUCCCCGUUGCAGGGACUGCGCCCUUGGCUCUCCUCGGCUCUGCUCACUUUUGUCAUCCGGACACUGGCCGUCUGUGCUGUGUAUAGGCAGAGCACGAGGUGGGUGGCCCUGACCUCAUCGUGGGGCCGAGUGUUUACGCGUGUCCUGUCCUGAGCUUUGUAAGAACGGGGGCCUCGUCCCACGCUGGUCUCCAGGGCCUGGCACGCUCCAGGCCCUGAUGCCUGAGAGAGUCUUCUGAUGGGCCGGUGGCGCAUUUCUGGAUGUGUGCGUCAUCUCAUGUUGCAUGUGUGGUAUUCAUGAUUUGAGUGAGUAUGGGAUUAACGCUCUCCCAUCCCCCCAAAAAGCAGCUGCAGCCAAGGCCUCUUGGAUUGUACAUAUUUGGGAAAAGUGGUUCUGUUUUUAUCUAUGGAAGUUUGUUUUCAUUUGCAUCUUAUCAACCCAGAGCACACUCACUGUAUCUGGACUCCAUUUGGGGAGAGUGCCGAGCGUUAGCCGGGCCGGCUGUGUGCUCGGGGCAGCUGCCCAGCGUGCCUUCCAUAGCUUCCUGCUGAGUUCAUGUGCUUUGGCCCCGGAGACCGGCAGACCGUGUUUUUGUUUUUAAAUUUGUUAACUUGGUGCUACGGGGGCAGGAUGUGUUCUGGUAUAUUUAGUUGUCCAAAAGAAAAGGGUGCUUGGAGUGUUGUCACUAACACUCCAAGUUUAGCUGAUUCUUGUGCGAGAAGACAGGCUUGCAGAAGUUAUACCAAAAUAGUAAAUUUGGUAUGGGUCGUAGAAUUGGAUGGGACUUGUUUUUUCCAGCUAAUUUGUAGCGCCUUCGUAAGGUACAGAGUCAAGUCAGAUUGUUUAAAGGAUUCACGGUAAAUUCCACAGAAGAGGACGACCUAGUCAGUGGUAGUACAGAACAGGAAGAAGUGAAAAAGGUGGCGGGCCGUUAGAAGUGACGUGGGGUGUGGGGGAGGAGACGGGAGGCCCAGUGCUCACUGUUUGGUUUGCAUUCCUAGUCUUAAGUUACGCCGGACAACCGUGUGGCUUUGUGAGAUGUUUGUCGGUGCUGGGUCCCUUCUUCCAGGGCGAUCGUGCCCAACGGUGUCCCUGAGUUUGGAGCAGGGAAUCGGGGGCCAUGGGAGACCCCUGCCCGCCCCGCCCCCGCCCACCCCCCGCCCCGGCCCAGCACUUGGGCCUCGCUGGGCUGUGGUUGGACGCGAUGUCAGAACAGAGGCUUUGGGGGUGGCGGGGAGGCAGGGACGCUGGGCCAGGCUCCGGCUUCAGUGGGAGGGGUUGUGUUCGGUUUUGAGGAAGGUAAACGAGGCCGCUUUAAAACUGAGGGGAGGUGAGGCGGGUUCCGAUCCUGUGGGACUAGCCCUCCCUCAGAAGCUCCCUGUCAUGUCCCCACGCGGUGGGGGCAGGUGACAUCCCGAUGACGGGUUGAGUUCCUUGCACAGCACGUCAAGUGUGUGGUCGGGACCUGCCACUCUGUCACGGUGGCUCGUCCCGACACCGGGCGCGGGCAUCCCUCGUUCCAGAUGCUCUCGGACUCCCUCUCCAUGUCCCUGUGUCUCUGAAGCAGCGGGCCGGGGGGCGGGGGGGCAGGUCGCGGCCAGCGUGGAGUCUGCCGCACAGCUCCCAGCCCGGGAGGAGGAGCGGGCUUCCCGCCCCGGCGUGAGGGUGGCGGUGCCCUGGGUCUCGGGUCGAUUGUGCCCUUCGUUCUGAUCAAAACCGGCCCUCGAAUCCCCUUUCACCAACAGGUGGGGGACGGUGGCCUCCUGUCAGGGCCGCCAGCCCACUGUGCACAUAGUUAGUGGGUUCAGUGAGUCCCUGCAGAAAGGAUCCAGUGAGACCUUUGGGCCACACAGCAAACGCAGGGCACAAGGCGUCCCUGGAAGCCAGUGUGCGUGCACGUCCUGGGCCUGGGGAAGCAAAGACAACGGGGAACAGCACAGCGUCGUAGGCCCGGCGCUUCUUUCCCUGGCCUGUGCGGCCCUCGACCGGCCAGCAGGACCGCACCCUGCCCGUGGUGGCCUUCCAGCUCCCGAGGACCCGUCUCCCAAGGGCCGGCGUGCACUUUGUCUGCAGUGUAAGUGCCGGAAAUGAGGCCAGCCGUCCGCGCCCGGAUGGGUUCCCUGCACUUCCCGGGGAGGCGGGAGGUUGCGUCUGAAGGCACAGAGCUGUAGACGCCAAACGGUUGUGGAGAUCGUGGGGGAAACGCCACCUCUUGUCGCCGGUGUGGAAGACUCGGUUCCCGGGGUUCCCGGGGUGCGGUUAGCAGGGUGGGAGCGCUGCAGCUCCCCCCGCCACGAGCCUGGCCCCUGCCCUGCCAGGCCCAGAUGGAGGGAUGCCGAUGUUUUGCAUAAGAGCUGACGUUGACAUGUUCUCAGAUGUCAUGCUGUUGGUCGCAAGGUGUGAUAUUUACGGAUCGUAGGGAGCGUGGGAGGUGGGACUGUGUGGGGCAGGGAAGGGAUAACUGGUCCCCCAUAGCCGUGUCUCCUGCUGCUGCACGGGCUCCAGCAGCUUCUUCCUUCCAGGUGGACAGAGCUGAGCACGUGCUUGGGCCACAUCCUGUGCACACGGAGCUGUUCUUGGGGUCGGGCGUCGCCCCAUUUGCCAGUAUUCAGGUGUUGGGGUCCCAGGCCCCUCCCCGAGUGCUCCGCGAGGCCUAUGCACCUGAAGAAACUGAGGCCCUGGCUCCCCUUUCUCCGCUUCCCACUUCAAAUGCGGGUUUUGCAGUAGAGUCUCCACGUAACUGGUUUCUUCAAACAGCUGCAUGGCUCCUCCUCCGCGUGUCGGAGAGUUUUUACUUCUGUUUGUUUGCCGAAGAGCAUAAUGUCAGCCGAGACUCUCAGACCCUGCAGAGGUGGGCUCCCCCCAAGGGUUCCCCUGGCCUUGCCCUUGGCCCUGUUCACCGACGCCCCGCUGGCCACCUUCCUGCUCAGGCACGGGGUGGCCCUCGGGUGAGGCACCUGUCCGGGGGGAUGUGGACGCCCGGCCCAGGGCAUCCGUGCGCUGUCAGCCUAGUCCUGAUUGGACUCAGGAACCUGCAUUGGGUCAGAGGGCCUCACCGGAAACGUGUCUCCCGGCCAUGUACCCAGGACCAGCGGGCAUCCCCUCCCAGCCUGGAGGUCUGCUUGGUUACCCGGCUCCACGAGCAGCGUUUCCGUUGGGGCCUGCAGGUGGGACCCCGGGGCGGCAGACUCCGAGCUGUAGGCCGGCACGGAGCCAGGCUGGGCUGCGGUGCUGGGGCGUCCAGCCGCCCGAAAACGUUGAGCACGCAUGGUGGGCACCCACAGCGUCCAGAGCCAUGGGGGAUUCGGAGGCUCCGUGAGGAAUCAGAGACUGGCUUUGGCAAACCUUUAAAGCUCAAGCCCCACGAUGCAGGCCGCCCGAAGACUUGGGAUUUCUCAGCAGUGAUUCCUGUGCUCGGUGGGGGCGGGGAGACCGUCGGAUGUGGCCCCUCGCACCAGCGUGGCCCUGCUUCCAGUGGCCAGCGCUCCUGCGUGAGGGCAAAGUUCACGCCAGGAUUUCGGGGCCGGUCCCCGCGGCUCAGGAGUUAGGUCCACGAGAUGAGCUUUAGCGAGCUGCAGAGCAUUUAGGCAGGUUGCCCGGGACAGGCGCGUGUCUGUUCCCAGCGCUGAGCCGGGCACCGGGUCCGGAGGAGCCCGCGUGAACGGCUGGGAUCAGCACAACUCCGUCCGCGACCGUCCUCUUGGUGCACACUGCGUCUCGGGUGUCGCCCCAGCUGGUGCUCCUCCGCUGGGGGGCUGUGGGCACAGAAGGGGAAAGCUGGCGGGCUUGAGUGCGCAUGCGGGGCUCACGCUCGCACGGGGCUUCUUGUGGCUCGGGGUUGUACGUACCGGAGAGAGGGUGUUUGGUGAGAGUUGCUCGCUGGGCGGAGCAGCUGGGGGUCUAGCUCCCCUGGAAGGGAGGGUUGGUAAGAGGCUCCAGGAAUGCCCCCACAGGGUCCACCCUCCCCAUCAGCGGACAGUUUCACAGCUUCGUUCCCCAUGUCAAGCGUAUCUCUGGCACGCGUGCCCAGUGGUCCAAAGCCUUCGGUGAAUGAAGCCCGAGAUCAUCCCUUGAACCUGACCGCUUGUCCCGACGGUAUCCCUGGUGUUCACCUGUUGUGCAGAAUUACUUCCUGUUGUUUAAAAGACCGGUAGAAACACACCUUUGAGAGCAGUGAGGGCUGUUCCAUCUUGGCCGAGUCUCUGGGGCGACAGAUGGCCAGCGCACGGGGCCUCGGCUCUGAGCUGGCAGGAAACGUGUUGCCACGGCCUCCUCAGUGUCGUGUGUGCACAGGCUCCACAAGUAAGGCUGCCCGGGAAGGAGGUUCCCGGGAAGGAGGUGCCCGGGAAGGAGGUGCCCGGGAAGGAGGCGGGAGGCUGCCACCGCCGGGUUGGUUCUGAUGGAAUGAAUUGUCCUGGGGGGCCCGGCCCCUGGGCAGGGAUUGCCGUGGGACACAUUCCCUCCUGGGAAGGUCGGGCGUGCAUCCGGGAGUCACUGGUGUGCGUGAAGGGGCGGGCGCGGAGCCUGAGGUCAGGCCCCCACCGUGCAGAGGCUGUGGUGUGGCGGACGAGGCCGCCCUCCAGGAAGAGCGCCUUCGCAGAGGCCAGAGCGCGCUGCCCUCCCAGCCGGCCAGCACCAGCGGCCCCUCGCCGAGGUCACA